CGACGAACCGUAACUGGUCUGAGAGGAUGAUCAGUCACACUGGAACUGAGACACGGUCCAGACUCCUACGGGAGGCAGCAGUGGGGAAUAUUGGACAAUGGGCGAAAGCCUGAUCCAGCCAUGCCGCGUGUGUGAAGAAGGUCUUCGGAUUGUAAAGCACUUUAAGUUGGGAGGAAGGGCCAUUACCUAAUACGUGAUGGUUUUGACGUUACCGACAGAAUAAGCACCGGCUAACUCUGUGCCAGCAGCCGCGGUAAUACAGAGGGUGCAAGCGUUAAUCGGAAUUACUGGGCGUAAAGCGCGCGUAGGUGGUUUGUUAAGUUGGAUGUGAAAUCCCCGGGCUCAACCUGGGAACUGCAUUCAAAACUGACUGACUAGAGUAUGGUAGAGGGUGGUGGAAUUUCCUGUGUAGCGGUGAAAUGCGUAGAUAUAGGAAGGAACACCAGUGGCGAAGGCGACCACCUGGACUGAUACUGACACUGAGGUGCGAAAGCGUGGGGGAACCAAACAGGAUUAGAUACCCUGGUAGUCCACGCCGUAAACGAUGUCAACUAGCCGUUGGGAGCCUUGAGCUCUUAGUGGCGCAGCUAACGCAUUAAGUUGACCGCCUGGGGAGUACGGCCGCAAGGUUAAAACUCAAAUGAAUUGACGGGGGCCCGCACAAGCGGUGGAGCAUGUGGUUUAAUUCGAAGCAACGCGAAGAACCUUACCAGGCCUUGACAUCCAAUGAACUUUCUA
rnacentral:rRNA from 1 species